UCAAAAUCCACGGCUCCAAUCAAACUUUUGAUCAUUUGCCCUAUUAUCUUCUGUGAGUCAUUACGGCGUUUCACGAUAUUUCUCCGAAAAGCAAAUUGUGCAGAAGAUAUUGAGAGUCUGCAGAGGGAUUUUGAAAGGCUGUACAGACACAACAAAUUGCCGAUGAGUACGAACCUGAAUGUCAGGGUUUAUCGCCAACUGCACAGACAGAAUUCAGAGGAAGGGAGAGAGACAGCGAGAAGGAAGAGUGAACCAAUACAGAAGAGGUGGUCGUGGAUGCUAGAAAAAGAUGCACCGUAGAAAGCAUUCUUCGAGGGUGCAUCACAACCUGGUAUGGAAGUUGUCCUGUCCAAGACCGGAAGAAGCUGCAGAAGAUCGUGAACACGGUGCAGCACAUCACACAAACCAAUCUUCCGUCCGUGGACUCACUUUACACCGCACGCUGUCGGAGCAGUGCUGCCAGGAUAAUCAAGGACAUGACCCACCCAGCCAACACACUUUUCAUCCCUCUUCCCUCCGGGAGAAGGCUCAGGAGCUUGAAGACUCAUACAGCCAGAUUUGGAAACAGCUUCUUUCCAACUGUGAUAAGACUGCUGAACAGAUCCUGACCUGGAUUUGGGCCAUACCCCUCCAAAUAUCCAGACCUGCAUCUCGGAUUUUUUUUGCACUACCUUACUUUCCAUUUUUCUAUUUUCUAUUUAUGAUUUAUAAUUUAAAUUUUUAAUAUUUACUAUCGAUUUGUAAUCCAGGGAGCGAGAAGCGCAGAAUCAAAUAUCGCUGUGAUGAUUGUACGUUCUUGUAUCAAUUGUUUGGCGACAAUAAAGUAUAAAGUAUAAAUUUAUUAUCAAAGUACAUAUAUGUUACCAUAUACUACCCUGAUGAAUUUCUUUAAUCCCCAUACUAGACUAAGGGCCUUUCGGUCAGUCUGUGUGUAGUUGUGAUCUGUGCUCGUCAGUGAUCUUGAAGCAAAUGCAAUUGGACGUUCAGAUUCAUCUUUCAUUGGUGUUACAAAGUGGCAAUGCCACAAGGGGAUGCAUUGCAUGCCAGUCUGAUGGGCAGGGAUGGGUCAUAAUGGGUGAGCAAUUCAUCAGAUGUUACUAGUCUGUUUGUUUCCUUGAAUGCUCUUUCACAUCUUUCUGACUAUUCCCACUUUGCUCCUGUCUGUAACAGUACAUUCAAUGGGUGCAGCACCGUAGCCACAGCGGGGGCGGAGGGGGGCGAUGUACCUCUUGAAAACAGGUUCACCCUCUUGGAAACUGUCGGGACAGAAGACAUUGCCAGUCUGAGCGGCGGUCAGGACUGCGAGUCAACAAUUGGCGCUGAAACAAAGCCGAGGAGACAGACGUCAGGCAGAGCCGUGGUAGUAGGGGACUCCAUAGUGAGAGGUACAGAAAGGGGUUUCUGCGGCAACAGGCGGGAUUUAAGGAUGGUGUGUUGCCUCCCUGGUGCCAGGAUUCAGGACGUCACGGACCGAUUGCAAGGAAUCCUCAAGGGUGAAGGUGAACAGCCAGAAGUGGUGGUGCAUGUGGGCACAAAUGACGUGGGGAAGAAGAAGAGAGACAUUUUGCAACAUGACUUCAGAGAACUCGGAAGAAGGCUGAAAAACAGGACCUCUAGGGUGGUUAUCUCCGGUUUGCUUCCAGUUCCCCGUGCUGGUGAGGGCAGGAACAGGGAGGUGUGGGAUCUGAAUGUGUGGCUGAGGAGCUGGUGCGGGAAGCAGGGAUUUGGAUUCUUGGACCACUGGGAUCUGUUUUGGGGUAAGGAUGAAUUGUACACAAGGGACGGGUUGCACCUUAACAGGCUGGGGACCAGCAUUCUGGCAGGCAGGUUUGCCCCUGCUACACUGGUGUGUUUAAACUAAAUAGUGGGGGGGGAGGAGAGGAAAUAUAAGGAUGGAGUUAAAGGGAAAGAGAGAAUAAGGAAAGUUAAGAAAGACAACAGAAUUAACGGGGCAGAAAGCUCAGGAAGGGAUCGGAGAGUAUGGCCAAGUGCAAUAGGAAUCCAUGUGAAAGGUGAGGGGAGUACUGUAAUGGAUUAAAAGUAUUAUAUAUGAAUGCACGGAGUAUAAGAAAUAAAGUGGAUGAGCUUGAGGCUCAGUUGGAAAUUGGCAAGUAUGAUGUUGUAGGAAUAACAGAGACAUGGCUGCAGCAAGAGGACCAGGGCUAGGAAAUGAAUAUUCAAGCGUAUACGUCCUAUCGAAAGGACAGACAGGUGAGCAGAGGGGGUGGGGUGGCUCUGUUGGUGAGGAAUGAUAUUCAGUCCCUUGCGAGGGGCGACAUAGAAUCAGGAGAUGUAGAGUCAGUAUGGAUAGAACUGAGAAAUUGUAAGGGCAAAAAGACCCUAAUGGGAGUCAUCUACAGGCUCCCAAACAGUAGCCUGGAUGUAGGGUGUAAUUUGAAUCAAGAGUUAAAAUUGGCAUGUCGCAAAGGUUGUUAUGGGGGAUUUCAACAUGCAGUAGAUUGGGAAAAUCAGGUUGGUACUGGACCCCAAGAAAGGGAGUUUGUGGAGUGCCUCUGAGAUGGAUUCUUAGAGCAGCUUGUACUGGAACCUACCAGGGAGAAGGCAAUUCUGGAUUUAGUGUUGUGUAAUGAACCAGAUUUGAUAAGGGAACUCGAGAUAAAGGAGCCAUUAGGAGGUAGUGACCAUAAUAUGAUGUUUUCAAAUACAAUUUGAGAGGGAGAAGGGAAAAUCGGAAGUGUCAGUAUUGCAGUUGAACAAAGGGGACUAUGGAGCCAUGAGGGAGGGGCUGGCCAAAGUUGACUGGAAAGAUCCCCUAGCAGGGAUGACAGUGGAACAACAAUGGCAGGUACUUCUGGGAAGGUGCAGGAUCAGUUCAUUCUAAAGAGGAAGAAAGAUUCUAAGGGGAGUAAGGGACGACCAUGGAUGACAAGGGAAGUCAAGCACAGUAUAAAAAUAAAAGAGAAGAAGUAUAACAUAGCAAAGAUGAGCGGAAAGCCAGAGGAUUAGGAGACUUUUAAAGAGCAACAGAGGAUAGCUACCCUAAAAAGGCUAUACAGGGAGAAAAGAUGAGAUACAAAGGCAAGCUAGCCAAGAAUAUAAAGGAGGAUAGAGAAAGCUUCUUUAGCUAUGUGAAGAGGAAAAAAUUAGUUAAGACCAAAGUUGGACCCUUGAAGACAGAAAUGGGUGAAUUUUUCUGGGGAACAAGAAAAUGGCAGACGAGUUGAACAGGUACUUUGGAUCUGUUUUCACUGGGAAAGACACAAACAAUCUCCCAGAUGUAAUAGUGGCCGGAGGACCUAGGGUAACGGAGGAACUGAAGGAGAUUCAUAUUAGGCAGAAGAUGGUGUUGGAUAGACUGAUGGAACUGAAGGCUGAUAAAUCCCCAGGGCCUGAUGGUCUGCACCCCAGGGUACUUAAGGAGGUGGCUCUAGAAAUUGUGGACGCAUUGGUGAUCAUUUUUCAAUGUUCUAUAGAUUCAGGAUCAGUUCCUGUGGAUUGGAGGGUAGCUAAUGUUACCCCACUUUUUAAGAAGGGCGGGAGAGAGAAAACAGGGAAUUAUAGACCAGUUAACCUGACAUCAGUGGUGGGGAAGAUGCUAGAGUCAAUUAUAAAAAAUGAAAUUACGACACAUCUGGAUAGCAGUAACAGGAUUGGUCCGAGUCAGCAUGGAUUUACGAAGGGGAAGUCAUGCUUGACUAAUCUUCUGGAUUUUUUUUAGGGUGUAACUAGGAAAAUGGACAAGGGAGAGCCAGUGUACCUGGACUUUCAGAAAGCCUUUGAUAAGGUCCCACAUAGGAGAUUAGUGGGCAAAAUUAGAGCACAUGGUUAUGGGGGUAGGGUACUGACAUGGAUUGUAAAUUGGUUGGCAGACAGGAAACAAAGAGUAGGGAUUAAUGGGUCCCUUUCGGAAUGGCGGGCGGUGAUUUGCAUCACUCUGUAAUCGCAAUUCCUCUUGUGAAUGCUGUAUGUGCUCAUUAGAUAGCAGUGCCACAAACUGCUUUUCUUCACUAAUUUUUGUCACAUGGAUUUUAAGUAAUUGCAUUACCUCAAUUACGUUGAUUUCAUCUGCAUCAUUUGUAAGACUAAAAUCUUCUUCAAGAAUAUUAAUUAUCGCAUGCUUAACUUCUAAAAUUGCUGUUUUUCAAGUCUAUCUGCUAUUUCCAAGUUCUUUUCUUGAAUCAAAGCCUGUAGUUGUUUACUGAGAUCUUGAAGUUCUUCCUCAUUUGUUUCCAUGUUUUCAUUUUUUAAUCUGAAUGUAGAUGAUUCACUUUGCAACAAACUCCUUUUUCCUUUUUUAACUUCAGAAUAAGUUCCUCCAUUUUUAAAAUCUGUUUUCCAUGUCACUGAAUUUUUGACAACAAGCAUCUUUUUCAGAAACCGUCUCCUUUAAAUGCAGUACUGUUUUGUCCAAUCUCUUUCCAACUGACAGUUGUUCUUAUUGAGUACUUCUAUUUGUUGAUGGAGUUCUGCACAUUUACCCUGGGUUUCAACCAUGUUUCUUGUAUACAUAAAAUCUGAGGUUUUUCCUUAAGUUCUGAUACAUAUUUCAUAAAUUCUUGACCAUUUGCGAUAAGACUCCUUGCAUUCCAUUGUAAUAUAUGUGUGUGUGUGUAUAUAUACACAUACACACUGCCAUUAAUUUCCCGCCUCUCCUGCCUGUGAACUGUUUGAUCCUCCAUUCAGCAUUUCUUUGACUACUUCCCAUCUAAGCCCUGUAAUACCAAGAUACUUUUCUGCAGACUUGACUAUAAUUUUAAUUUUUUCAGUUCUUUUGUCUGUUUGCACUGAACAGUUAAUUGCAUCUACCGUAACCAGUACAAAAUCCUUCUUACUCAUUAUUAGUGUAUCCUUAUUUAUCAUAUUACAGCCCUCACAGUUCACCGGUUUAUUAUUCCCUGUAUUUGUUUGCUUGAUAGCCUUCUCCUUUUCAGCAAAUACUUUCACUGCCUCUGUGUAACUGAUCCAUUGAGUUACUUUUACAUAUUGUAUCUCAGCUUCUUUCUUGCUUUUAAUGCACCCUCGGUAAGCUGCACUGUGUUCCUCACCACAAUUACAGCAUUUCAGCCUAGCUCACGCCUCAUAUUUCCCGUAUUCAUGUUCUCCAGCGCAUCUCCCACAUCUUUGUUUCCCUCUGCAGACCACUGCAAUAUGCCCGAAUUUCUGACAUUUAAAGCAUCUUAAAGGCGGUGGUAUACAUAUAUUCUGACCUCAUAACACAUAUACCCUAAAUAAACUUUAGUCGGCAAUCUCUCUUCAUCAAAGUUAAUCAUAACCGAUAAACUAUCACUUACAAACGUUUGGCCUCAAUCAUUUUUGCUCCUUUUAUGUUCUAUUUAAUCUCAUCCAUAGUAACUUUUGUUGAUAUCCCCAAAAUAACUCCUCUAGUCCACUUACUAUUGUUGGAUAUUGAGCAUUGUACUUUUUUGCCGUCUAUUGUAUUUAAUCUUAUCCCUUUGUCUUGCUGAGCACUUCCUGACAAAUCACUAAUAGCGAUCCAUUUCGUAAAAUCUUUGCUCUUUUGACUUCGCCUAUAAGUUUGUUGAUUAUCUUCGUCAAAUGAAUCUGGUUCCAUUCACCAAAAGACGCUCCGUCUUCGCUCAGUUUUAUAAUUGCUCUAAUCUCAUCUUCUUUCCGUUGUUUUGCUAUCCUAUCUUGUUUGUCCCCUAACUCCUCAGAGUUUGACAUCUCAUACCUCUGCUUUCUUUUCUUACUCUCUCCACUCCAUUCCUCUUUCCCGCCACCCUCCAUCUCGAACUCACUUCCGCUAUC